CCAGUAAUAAGUGCUUUUGAUAUAGAUUCAGUGCAAUCUGUUUAAAGAAAUACAAUUUUUAAGUGCAUAGAACUUCAUAUUUCACUUGCUUCGUACGGACCGCUAGACCUAGACUAUUAAAACAGCACAUUUUGCACUCUUUUUAUGCUUUUAUCCACCUUUCUUUGUGUUCAGAGUUCACAAAUGAGUAAAACACAUGAAAUAAAUACCACAAACACAAAUAGAUAUCAGAAAAAAAAUGUCAGAGAAAAAUUAAGAAUGCUGCUUUUGCAAAAAUAUUGAAAAAAGUGAAAAAGCUACUUUUUGGGCAUAUUAGCUGAAAAGUGACUUUUUUUACAAAUUUCUAUCAAAUAAAAGUGGAAACCAUUUCUUCUCAUAUAGUUUGACAAAUAAAUACCAAUAGAUCAUUCAGAGAAGUUGUCAAAGUAUAAAUUCAAAAUUUGCUGAAAUGCACCUCUUAGGCCCGAGACCACAAUUAAUUCUUCUAUCAUUUCUUUAUAACGUUUUGUCGCAUUAAAAAAAAUUGAAUUGUUCUUUUUGUCUAAUUUUUUGUGUGAGUAAUGUACAGUACAAGUCC
rnacentral:lncRNA from 1 species